CCUACGGGAGGCAGCAGUGGGGAAUUUUGGACAAUGGGCGAAAGCCUGAUCCAGCCAUGCCGCGUGCAGGAAGAAGGCCUUCGGGUUGUAAACUGCUUUAGUUCGGGAAAAAGGGAUGCUUGGUUAAUACCCGAGUGUUUUGAUGGUACCGGAAGAAUAAGCACCGGCUAACUACGUGCCAGCAGCCGCGGUAAUACGUAGGGUGCGAGCGUUAAUCGGAAUUACUGGGCGUAAAGCGUGCGCAGGCGGUCUUGUAAGACAGUCGUGAAAUCCCUGGGCUUAACCUAGGAACUGCGAUUGUGACUGCAAGGCUAGAGUGUGUCAGAGGGGGGUGGAAUUCCACGUGUAGCAGUGAAAUGCGUAGAGAUGUGGAGGAACACCGAUGGCGAAGGCAGCCCCCUGGGAUAACACUGACGCUCAUGCACGAAAGCGUGGGGAGCAAACAGGAUUAGAUACCCUGGUAGUCCACGCCCUAAACGAUGUCGACUGGUUGUUGGGUGGGUAACCACUUAGUAACGAAGCUAACGCGUGAAGUCGACCGCCGNGGAGGUACGGUCGCGAGAUUAAACUUAAAUAGAAGUAGUACGCGUGAGACGUGCCGACGGACGACGACGAGGGAGGAGG
rnacentral:rRNA from 1 species